rnacentral:rRNA from 1 species
UACACAUGCAGUCGAACGGUGAAGCAGACGUUUUGCUCUUGNUGGAUCAGUGGCGAACGGGUGAGUAACACGUGAGCAACCUGCCCCGGACUCUGGGAUAAGCGCUGGAAACGGCGUCUAAUACCGGAUACGAGAUUCCACCGCAUGUGGAGUUUCUGGAAAGAUUUUUUGGUCUGGGAUGGGCUCACGGCCUAUCAGCUUGUUGGUGAGGUAAUGGCUCACCAAGGCGUCGACGGGUAGCCGGCCUGAGAGGGUGACCGGCCACACUGGGACUGAGACACGGCCCAGACUCCUACGGGAGGCAGCAGUGGGGAAUAUUGCACAAUGGGCG